rnacentral:rRNA from 1 species
UUGCAGUUAAAAAGCUCGUAGUUGGAUUUCUGGGAGGGUGCCGCCGUCCGGCGUGUCCGUGUGCAGUGGCGCCCUUCCAUCCUUCUGUUAGCGUCUCUUGGCAUUCAUUUGCUGGUGGCGGGCUCAGAUAUUUUACCUUGAGAAAAUUAGAGUGUUUCAGGCAGGCUAGGCCGGAAUACAUUAGCAUGGAAUAAUGGAAUAGGACUACGGUCUCUUUGUUGGUUUGAGGGACUGCAGUAAUGAUUAAUAGGGAUAGUUGGGGGCAUUAGUAUUUAAUUGUCAGAGGUGGAAUUCUCAGAUUUGUUAAAGACUAACUUAUGCGAAAGCAUUUGCCAAGGAUGUUUUCAUUAAUCAAGAACGAAAGUUAGGGGAUCAAAGACGAUCAGAUACCGUCCUAGUCUUAACCAUAAACUAUGCCGACUCGGGAUCGGGGGCGUGUUCUAUCCGCCUUCGGCACCGUAUGAGAAAUCAAAAGUCUUUGGGUUCUGGGGGGAGUAUGGUCGUAAGGCUGAAACUUAAAGGAAUUGACGGAAGGGCACCACCAGGCGUGGAGCUUGCGGCUC